rnacentral:rRNA from 1 species
ACUCCUACGGGAGGCAGCAGUGGGGAAUAUUGCACAAUGGGCGCAAGCCUGAUGCAGCCAUGCCGCGUGUAUGAAGAAGGCCUUCGGGUUGUAAAGUACUUUCAGCAGUGAGGAAGGCGGAGUCGUUAAUAGCGGCCUCGUUUGACGUUAGCUGCAGAAGAAGCACCGGCUAACUACGUGCCAGCAGCCGCGGUAAUACGUAGGGGGCAAGCGUUAUCCGGAAUCACUGGGCGUAAAGGGUGCGUAGGCGGCUUAGCAAGCCAGGGGUGAAAGGCAUUGGCUCAACCAAUGUAAGCCUUUGGAACUGUUAAGCUUGAGUGCAGGAGAGGUAAGUGGAAUUCCUAGUGUAGAGGUGAAAUUCGUAGAUAUUAGGAGGAACACCAGUGGCGAAGGCGACUUACUGGACUGUAACUGACGCUGAUGCACGAAAGCGUGGGUAGCGAACAGGAUUAGAUACCCUGGUAGCACAGAG